rnacentral:rRNA from 1 species
UACGGAGGAUGCGAGCGUUAUCCGGAUUUAUUGGGUUUAAAGGGUGCGUAGGCGGGUGGCCAAGUCAGGGGUGAAAUCCCGGAGCCUAACUCCGGAACUGCCCUUGAUACUGGUUGUCUUGAAUGCGGAUGCCGUGGGAGGAAUGAGUAGUGUAGCGGUGAAAUGCAUAGAUAUUACUCAGAACACCGAUUGCGAAGGCAUCUCACGAAUCCGUGAUUGACGCUGAGGCACGAAAGCGUGGGGAU